rnacentral:rRNA from 1 species
GGUAUGAAAGGGUUAACGAAGAAGGUGCUGUGUCUAAAAAUUUAAUUUAAACUAACUUUAAGGUGAAGAGGCCUUUAUGUAAAAGAAGGACGACAAGACCCUAUGAAGCUUUAUCUUAAUUGGAGCUCUCAGGCUCUUAUACGAUUUUGAUGGGAGAUCAGUAGAAAUAAGUCUUCUACUAUCAUAUUAAUCUUACUAGUAUUUCCUAACUUUAUAUGUGUGGCUAGCUACUCUAGGGAUAACAGCGCAAUUUCUCCCGAAAGAUGGUAUUGGAGGGGAAGAUUGCGACCUCGAUGUUGGCUUUAGAUAUCCUAGAGGCGUAGAAGCUUCU